AUUGAACGCUGGCGGCAGGCCUAACACAUGCAAGUCGAGCGGAUGAAGGGAGCUUGCUCCUGGAUUCAGCGGCGGACGGGUGAGUAAUGCCUAGGAAUCUGCCUGGUAGUGGGGGAUAACGUCCGGAAACGGGCGCUAAUACCGCAUACGUCCUGAGGGAGAAAGUGGGGGAUCUUCGGACCUAACGCUAUCAGAUGAGCCUAGGUCGGAUUAGCUAGUUGGUGGGGUAAAGGCCUACCAAGGCGACGAACCGUAACUGGUCUGAGAGGAUGAUCAGUCACACUGGAACUGGAACACGGUCAAAACUCCUACGGGAGGCACCAGUGGGGAAUAUUGGACAUUGAGCGAAGUCUUAACCCGGCCAGGCCGCGGGGGUGAAGAGGGUCUUCGGAUGGUAAAGUCCGUUAAGUUGGGAGGAAGGUCAGUAGGUUAAAACCUUGAUGAUUUGACGUUACCAACAGAGAAAGCACCGGCUAACUUCGUG
rnacentral:rRNA from 1 species